AGGAUCGUGUUUCAUUCAGUAACACACACACACAGGAUCGUGUUUCAUUCAGUAACACACACACAUGGGCAUACUUUGAUAAAAGGUAUUUGUCCUCCUCAGGAAGUCUGAAGUGGAGUACUAUGCCAUGUUGGCCAAGACUGGCGUCCAUCACUACAGUGGGAACAACAUCGAGCUGGGCACGGCCUGUGGAAAGUACUUCAGGGUGUGCACACUGGCUAUCAUCGACCCCGGUGAUUCUGACAUCAUCAGGAGUAUGCCAGACCAGCCGCAGGGGGAGAAGUAGACAUUUCACUCUUAAUGUUACAAAUAAACUUGGUUGAAUGGUG